GAUCCUGGCUCAGGAUGAACGCUGGCGGCGUGCCUAACACAUGCAAGUCGAGCGGGAAAUCGGGGAACAAGAUUUCGGUCAAGUGAAGCGAUGGAUAGCGGCGGACGGGUGAGUAACGCGUAGGUAAGCUGCCCCAUGCAGCGGGAUAGCCUAGGGAAACCUGGAUUAAUACCGCAUAAUGCGGAGUUUUCACAUGGGAACAUCGCCAAAGAUUUAUCGGCAUGGGAUGCACCUGCGUCUGAUUAGAUAGUUGGUAGGGUAACGGCCUACCAAGUCGACGAUCAGUAGCCGACCUGAGAGGGUAAUCGGCCACAUUGGAACUGAGACACGGUCCAAACUCCUACGGGAGGCAGCAGUGGGGAAUAUUGCACAAUGGGCGCAAGCCUGAUGCAGUAACGCCGCGUGAGCGAAGAAGGUCUUCGGAUUGUAAAGCUCUGUCCUUGGGGAAGAAGAAAGUGACGGUACCCGAGGAGGAAGCCCCGGCUAAAUACGUGCC
rnacentral:rRNA from 1 species